CUACGGGUCGCUGCAGUGAGGAAUAUUGCACAAUGGAGGAAACUCUGAUGCAGCAACGCCGCGUGGAGGAUGACGCAUUUCGGUGUGUAAACUCCUUUUAUAUGUCAAGAAAAUGACGGUAGCAUAUGAAUAAGCUCCGGCUAACUCCGUGCCAGCAGCCGCGGUAAUACGGAGGGAGCAAGCGUUACUCGGAAUCACUGGGCGGAAAGGACGCGUAGGCGGGAUAGAAAGUCAGGUGUGAAAUCCUAUGGCUCAACCAUAGAACUGCACUUGAAACUUCUAACCUAGAGUAUGGGAGGGGAAGAUGGAAUUAGUGGUGUAGGGGUAAAAUCCGUAGAUAUCACUAGGAAUACCAAAAGCGAAGGCGAUCUUCUGGAACAAUACUGACGCUAAGGCGUGAAAGCGUGGGGAGCAAACAGGAUUAGAUACCCCUGUAGUC
rnacentral:rRNA from 1 species